GAGGCGCGCACUCAGGCCCGGCCGGGCAAGGCUGGGCCUGUGCGCGCGCGGCUCCGCGCGUCCCGCCGGGUGGUCUCGGUCCCUGCGCGCGCACACCUGGACCGGCCGGCUCCGUCGGCUGGCAGCCAUGUCUCGUCCAUCCUGCAGCAGAAGCCUCGGCGGCCCCAGAAUGAAGUCAGCUCACUCAGCAUCUCUAAGGAGCCGGGAAACAGAGCUCUCUUGCAACAGCGUCCGUGUAACCUUGGCGAUGCCCUUGAAACUUGCAAAGUUUCCUGGGUUCUGAGAAGGAGAGAAAUGUUUUCUGGCACAAAAAAAAAA